rfam:Fistulina hepatica ATCC 64428 unplaced genomic scaffold FISHEscaffold_69, whole genome shotgun sequence.
UCUCUGAUAGUAUAUUGGCUAGUACACCCGCCUGUCAUAGCUGAUAGUGAUAUGCUCCUGCGCGGGAGAGCUGGGUUCAAUUCCCAGUCAGAGAG